rfam:Methylobacterium tarhaniae strain DSM 25844 contig_103, whole genome shotgun sequence.
GCGGGGCUGCGGUUCUCGUCAGGAGACACAUAUCCCCGGGGCCUUAUCGACUCCCUCGGGAGCUGUCACUGCCCUGGUCCGUGGACCGGGGCAUUACGGCGCCCACCUACUUCGUAGGUUUCCCGGGAUCGAUUCUCCAACGGCUCUCGUGGCUCCGCG